rnacentral:rRNA from 1 species
UACGUAGGUGGCAAGCGUUACUCGGAAUCACUAGGCGUAAAGCGCAGGUAGGCGGUUGGAUAAGUUUCUUGUGAAAGCUCCUGGCUUAACUGGGAGAGGCCAAGGUAAUACUAUUUGACUAGAGUGUGGUAGGGGUAACUGGAAUUCCCGGUGUAGCGGUGAAAUGCGUAGAUAUCGGGAGGAAUACCUAUGGCGAAGGCAGGUUACUGGGCCAUCACUGACGCUGAGCUGCGAAAGCUAGGGGAGCAAACAGG